GAAAAAGGCAUAUGCCAAAUGAAUAAAACUCUGAUUACCAAUUUCUAUAAAGCAUACCAUUGCUUGGUUAAGCAUACCAUUACUGAUGGUGAGAGAAAUCAGGAAGACCAUGAGACGAUUCAUCAAAUGGAAGCAAGUUGAUCAAUUUAGAUGAUAUUGUUAGCUAGUUUUGGUGAAGAACAUCACUUGGUAAGUACUUCUUAGCCCUAGAAUUCAAGUGUUUGGGGUUCACCAUUAAAAAUGUUAAUUUCGUUGAUGCAUGUCGAAAGUUUCUUCUAUUUUGUUAAUGAAUUCGUGCUGAAUGUUUAAAGUAGGUGGGAAUAUCUUCAUUUUUUCUUUAACAUGACAACUGUUGAGAAAGUAAUGACAAAGUUUAAAAAUAAUUAAGUUGAUGCAUUAGAUUUCCAAAUGGGUCAGGUAAGUGAACAAAUUAGAAGUGACAUGUGUUACUUACUUGUAUGUUUGAAAUGAUGAAAUAAAACUAGUAACCUGCUAUGAUGAUAUUUGGUACUGUAAAAUGUUGGUUUAAUUUGCUGCAAAUUGGUGAUGUAUAAUGGUGUAAAAUAGUGUUUUAAUUGCUGAAAAUUUGGGUUGUAACGUGGUGUAAAAGCUACAGUAAAGUGAUGGUUUAAUUGUUGUAUAAUGGUGUAAAAGUUGUUGUAAACUGGUGGUUUAGUUUCUGUAAAAUUGAUACUGUAAAAUGGGGUUUUAAUUGUUGUAAACUUGGGCUGUAAAGUGGUGUAAAACCUGCAGGAAAGUGGUGGUUUCAUUGCUGUAAAAAGGUGUUUUGAUUGCUAAAAUUUUGGGCUGUAAAUGGUGUAAAAGAUGUUGUAAUAUGAUGGUUUACUUGCUGUAGAUUGUGUUUUAGUUGUAAGGUAUUUUAGUUUAUUUUAAACUAGCCAAAGCGAAUGAGGAUGGAAUAUUAGCUCGUAUUUAAGUUUGUAUACUAAUGAACCUAUAGUAUUAACAUGCUGAAUGCAUUGUGGGUUCGAAUGACAAUUUAUGAUGGAAUGAUUUUUAAACUAUGCUUUUAAACGUUGUGUACUGACUUGCAAGUUUUGCUGCGCAUAUUGAAGGUAGGACGUUAACAGGUCGAAGCUAGUAAUUAUUGUAUCCAAAGAUCCGAUCCUACAGUCGUUUGUGAGUUCAUCUUACACUUAUUUCAUGAAGCGAUGACCAAAAUACUUUAUUUUAAGUUUAUAAGAUUAAAGUUUUUACGUUGUUGAUAUUGAGAAUCAAAUCUUUUGUAUUGUGAAUUAAAAUGUAGUAACUUUAUGCACUUUAUUGUUGUAUCACUCAUGCAGUAUGAGGUGAACAUUCGUAUGUGAAUUAUUGGAUAAGUUUAUACUAAUAUUAAAGGAAUUGAUCUCAAGUUUUAAACUGUAAGAUAUUUAGAAGUGAGUGUCUCACAACCUAUAUGGACUUUUGGAUAUAUUAAUCAAUGAAGGAAUAAAGCGAAUUUGUUAUUAUUAUUAUUACUAUGAUAUUUCGUAUUGUAAAUAGGAUCUAGUUCUUACAUGUGGUUAGUUCCCUGGAUUUCACAUGAUGCUACUUUAGUAAAUUGUUAGUUGAUGAUUCAAUCAAAUAAAAUGGAUCAACAGGGACAUAUGGGAGGUAUCAAAGGUUGAGGUAAGUAGUUGCACUAAACCUUGUAUGUAAGGAAAAUUAGGAUUGUAGUGUGGUGAGUACCAUACAUCUCGUAUAAAUUCAUAAAUUCAUUGAUAUUUUAUUGUGUUUCUUAGUGUUGUGAUUGACCUGAAAGUUAUGGGGGGCCCUUUCCAACCAACUAAUUUCAUGUUCUUUACGUAAAGCUCUUAACGGUGCUCGUGUUCAAGAUCUCGGAUUAGUUUGGUUGAAGAUGCUAUAUAAAAUGUCAACUGGACACUUUCCAAAAACACACUAUGUGUGUCAAAUAUGUUUACAUUUUGCAAAUAUGGUCCAAUACACAGCCGAACAUGUUUACACGUGUUCUAAUAAUUAUUAUCAAAUUGUUUAAGUGUUAAAACAUAUUUUAGAACACCUCUAAACUCAGAUUAUGAAUAUUUCAAAAACUGACCCGUUUGACUUUUUAAUAUUAAUAACUUUGACCCGUCAAUUGACCAAGGAAACGUGAUUUUCAGGAUGUGCCCUUUUGAGGGAUUAACACCUACCUAAUUACGAUCAGUAGCCAUGUUCGUUGCGAACAAUGGCUGGACCAUUAAGGUCUAAACCGAAAGUCAAAUCAUUUAUCGAAAAUGUUUGACUUUCGGCUUUAAAAAGCCUA
rnacentral:lncRNA from 1 species